UGAAUUUGAGCAUUAUAGCGAGCCACCCUUUCGGGUCCCACCUUGAUGCGAACCUUCAGUGUUCUUUGAUCUAGUGGAUUGCCUAACUUACUAGAAGGAAGUUCAUUUUUUCCUGGAAAUGUCUCGGUAACUUUACCCGAAGACAAGGUUGCCUUUUGUCUGUGAGAGGAGGUUUUCAAGGUCUGUGAUGCACGCGCACCGGGGGAGGAAGAAGCAUCAUCCCUAUGAGUCGAAGGUGUGAUUGAUUUUUGGGGGGGUCCCUGCGUGGUAACACGGCCCAUAGUGCUGAGUAAACGAAAAAUUCUCAUUCACGCGUACAAACCGUUAAUUAAGGACUCGACCAUAUACCUCUGGACAGGCAUUGGGAGAUCUAGGCAAGUGGGAAUUUUGAACUCUUGGUGGAGAUUUUGGCUGCGACCAAAUUGAAGGAGAGCGUUGAUGUGUGGGUAAAAACGAGCCAUAUCCACCAAACUUUGCCCCUGCACAAAGCCACCAAAAAUAAUUCAGGGCACUAAAUUCGUAUGAUGAGAAGAUAAAAAUGGGUCUGUUUCUCCACCACUCACCCAAAUUUUCCGCAGAAACCCCGCCUUCAAAAUCUUUCUGCAGAUGCCCAGUAUACUCUGAACCUUCUCUCCCUUUUAUAAGCAAGAAAUCACAAAGUGAACAAUAUAAGUUGAAUAAAACUAAAUAUAGAGAAAAAAAAAUAACAAAAUCAUUCAACAUGUAUAACUGAUAGCCACACAAGAUUGAAUAGUUAGAUAACGGGUUAUUGAAUUAGUUACAUGCUUUGCAAGCAUAAGAGUCCACAACGUAAUGCAAAAGGACAAGAUUCAAUGACCAUCUCAAUUAUGAUUAUAGACAGGGUAAUAGCUUAUAUUGUACUGCAUCAAUAUGAAUCUCGUAUGCUUCAAGAUUAUCAUCAACAUUUAGCAAGAAGAUCACAAAUGUUGUUCUUUUCCAUCUUCCACAAAUCCAAAACAAAUGAAACUAGCCCACAGUGCAUUCAAUUUAGAUAGAUGCAUCUUCUUAUCAUUGUAGGUGACAUGAAAUGAUCAUCCCAUUCAGUUCAUUUUAGCCAAUCAAACUUAAGCAACUCGAGAAAAGGUACAAGCACAUUCGACUGCAACCUCAUCCCACACACACCAAUACAUUCGACCAUCCACCCCCAAUUAUCAAACAUGUAAAGGUGCACUUCCGUGUUAGUGAACCACAGCAUGACUUGAUAACUUCAAAAGCAACAUAAAUUGCAUUAUUUGUCCAACAUUGAACAGCAUUAAUUGCCAUAGAAGCAGAUGAAGAAACUCAUACAAUGUAAGAGAGAGCUAUAUCAGGAUCAAUGGUUGCAUCAUCAUUGUAAUAGCAAGUCUCUCCUUCUUCAAGCUCAGGCUCCUGAACCAUCCUGGCCCACAAAUAACCCAGAACCCUAACCCUAAAACCUCCCCCCCAAAUUGCUCAAAUUCCCCCAAACCCAAAUCCAACCUCUAUCCUAAAAUCCAGCAUAUCACCUCCCCAAUUAAAGAACCGAACUUUAACCCAAGAAAGCAACUCACAAAACCCACAAUAACCCACUAAUGAAACACCUCCAAAAAAUCCCUCCCAAUUCCUCGAAAUUGAAAACCCUAAUCCAGACACUGGUUGAUCACCACCAUAUACAGAAGCACACGUGUGCCAAAUGUAUUCGCAUAAACUCCUAAACGGAAACGAGUAAGCGCAAUCCAAAAGAAUCAAUUUUUCGCAGGAAUUGAGUAACGAUCGAGGCGAUUCUCAAUGUAAUGCUCCUUAUUUGUUGUUUUUUUUUGUUAAUUUAAGUGUAUGUAAUAUGUAUGUAUAUUUUUUGUUAUUGCAUACAGACACCAUAUGAGGGGGGGAAGAAGGGGGGCGGUGGGGGUUGGGGGGUGGGGGGUAGGGUGUUUCUUUUCUUUCUCUUUCCUUUCUUUUCCUUUUUCUUUCCUUUUCCCCCUCUCUUAAGGGAAUUUUUGUUUCUAUCUUAAUAGUUAACUCCCUCUUAAUUUUCUCUUCUUUUUAUUAUUUUCCUCUUUAAUAAUUUUAAAAAUUAGCAAAAAAAAAUAUGGCAAUUUUUCUAAAUUCUAUCAUUACUUCUAUUAGUCAAAUUAUUUAUAAAUAUAUUAUUGAAUUUUCUACCUGAAAGUAUCAUGUUUCUAUAAGCUUAAAUAGUACUUUCUUCAUUUAUUAUAAAAUGACACAAAACUUUUGAACAUAUAAAACAAAAGAAGAUGUAAAUUGAUUGAAAAUAUUAGAACUUACACUUUCUUAAGAAUUAAAUUUUAUUAUCAUUUAUAAAAAUAAGCCAGCAUACUGGGACAAUUCAAAAUUAAAUACAUACUCCCUCCGUCCCGCUAUUCAUGUCCCGUUUCUUUUCGGCACGGAGAUUAAGGAGAAUGAAGUAAGUAGAAUAAAGAGUGUGGUCCACAUAUUUAAGUUUGUGAUUAAGGGAUUGUUAAUGUUUGAUGAUUCUAAUGAAAAUGAAAAAUUCCUAAAUAAUUAAAAUUCUGAAAAUGAAAAAUUGAAAUUAUGAAAAACUAAAAUUCUUAAAUGAACAUAAAUUUUCAGAAAUUGGGCGAUUUGCAGAAAUUUGGGCGAAAUUGCAGAAGUUGGGUUGCAACCCACCAAAAUCGAAAUCGAGCUCAGAAAUCCGAGGCGAGAAACUGCUUGAGAUCUUUGGAAAGCAUCCCGAGUGCGUCGGCGGAAUCGGAGACCAUUUCAGCUACUGAAGUGAAGGCAGCCAAGAAUUUGGAGAAGCUUUGCCUCCUCUUAACAACACAGGGGAAGUUGUAGAGCUUGUGCACGCCGUAGCACGUGAGUCCCACAACAAAUGCCCACUUUCUCUUCUUCUUUGCAUAGUCUAAGCCUUUAACAACUCUAAGCCCAUCAACACCAAAAGACUAGAGAUUCAAGUAUAAUUACGUGACAUUGAAAUGAUGUGAGAGACAAAUUAAUGGUAGAGCAAUUGAAAUUGGGUAGGAUGGAGCGGCGAUGCAGAUUCAAAGGUGAAAUCAAACGAUUUCCCCCAACCAAAUCUGCAACCCAAAUUAGGGGUUAGGGUUUUGCAGAGGGUCAGGGGAGAUCAGAGGUGAGAGGCGGAGGCGGAGGAGAUCAGAGGGAGGAAAAGGGCGACCGAGGGCGGCGACGUGAGCUGCUGUCGCUCGACCGAGGAGUGGGGAGAGGGAGCUGUUGUUGGUGACGAUGGCGGUGGCUCUGUGCUGGAUUUGUGAGUGGAAGGAGAGGCGGCCGUGGCUUCACUGAGCGCCGAAGAGAGGUGACAGAUCCGGCGUCCACCGGAGAGAAGGUGAGGGUGGAGGCGCAGAGAGAGAGAGAGUCGAGAGUCUCCUUGAAUUCUAGGGUUAGAUGUAUUUUUGAUCUUUUGUAUUAGACAUUUAAUUAGUGUUUUAAUUAAUGUUAAGCAUUCCCUUAUUAUUUCCUUUUUAGGAAACGGGACAUUAUCGGUGGGACAACCCAAAAAGGAAAAUGGGACUUGAAUAGCGGGACGGAGGGAGUAUCAUUUUUAAUGAGACGGAGAGAGUAUGGAUUUUGGUAGAUUUUGCAAUGACUACAUGACUUUCCAAAUGUUAUAUCAAUUACGAUAUUAAUUUCUAUUUUUGUACUUAAAUAUGGAUUUUUUUUUUUGAAAAAAAGUUAUUACUCAAGAAAAAAGGAAAAAAUAUAUUCACACUCUAGUUCUCUAGGUGACUCGAAUCCCCAAUUUAUUAGUUAAAAGAGAAGUGUCUUACUAACAGACUGCACUUCAUCGUCAACUAUUGAUCAAUUUUUGGUAAAACAAAAUUACAAUUCGGAAAUCAGCGUCGUACUAUUUAAUUAAGUUUUGUCAAUUUGUCAAAGCUUUGUUUUCAUUGUGGGACACGUUACGUUCCUUUCUAUCACAAAUUUGGUCGAUGUUUUAAUUGCAGACAGAUUAUCAUAAUCAUUGACCAAUUGAAAUAGUGAUUUCUAAACAAAAUUAUACUAGUGUUUGCUCGCCGAGCGAUGCAAGGAAUAGUUACAAUUAAAAAAAUAAAAAAUAUAUAUAACUAAAUUAAAAUAAUCUAAUAAAUUGAUAUGUUUUUUAAAAUAAAUUAUUAUAUAUAAUACAUUAUUAUUCUAUAAUAAUUACAUAAUGUCAUAUUAAUAAUUUUUAUUAUUAAUACAAAUAUAUAAUUUAAAAAUUAAAAAUACAUAAAUUUAAAAAAUGAGGAUAUUGAAAGACGAUAUAUUAAGAACAAAUACAUAGCAUAGAGAUGUGAACGGUUUUUGUGCAUCCCUUUGUUGGGCUCUGCUUCACGAAUACUUUUAAUUAUGAAAUAGAGACUUAAAAGUCAAAUAUCUGAUAUGUGGUUUCUACCUUCUCUACACAUAUUAAAUAAGUGGCUUAUAUUCACUUUACACUCUUAACACUUUAUUCUUAAUCUCUGUACCCAAAGCAAAUAUGUCAAGAUAAGUGAGAUGAAGAGAGUAUAUGAUUGUGACUAAAAUAUGGUCGCCUCUUUUUUUUUAUUCUCACGUGUGUUAAGUCCAAUGAUAUUUGAUUUUUCCCCUAAAUAGCGAAAUAAUUGAAGAACCAUCAAAAUAUCAUAUAGACAAAAGCGCAACAACAAACUCAUGCCAUAACUCAAAAUUACAGCAGACGGUGCCAAUUGUUGUGCUAGGAAUUAAGCUCAACAUAUAAAUAAUGAAAAAAUUAAAGAAAAACUACUAAAUCCUACGAGUGAUUAAAGCUUUUAUAGUGAAAGCUUCUGAAAUCCAAGCUAUAGGACUACCUUUGUUGUAUAACUUCCAACCGCUCUUUACGAUGAUCAUGAUCUCAAUUGGUAAAAACAGGAGAAUUUUCAAGGAUUAAAGAGAAUAUUGAAGAUGNUCUUUGAUCUAGUGGAUUGCCUAACUUACUAGAAGGAAGUUCAUUUUUCCUGGAAAUGUCUCGGUAACUUUACCCGAAGACAAGGUUGCCUUUUGUCUGUGAGAGGAGGUUUUCAAGGUCUGUGAUGCACGCGCACCGGGGGAGGAAGAAGCAUCAUCCCUAUGAGUCGAAGGUGUGAUUGAUUUUUG
rnacentral:lncRNA from 1 species